rnacentral:rRNA from 1 species
UACGUGGGGUGCGAGCGUUAAUCGGAAUUACUGGGCGUAAAGCGUGCGUAGGCGGUUCUGCAAGUCAGAUGUGAAAUCCCCGGGCUUAACCUGGGAACUGCGUUUGAAACUACGGAGCUAGAGUACGGCAGAGGGGGGUGGAAUUCCACGUGUAGCAGUGAAAUGCGUAGAUAUGUGGAGGAACACCGAUGGCGAAGGCAACCCCCUGGGCCGAUACUGACGCUGAGGCACGAAAGCGUGGGGAGCAAACAGG